rnacentral:lncRNA from 1 species
AUAAUAUUGUAAUUAAAUUAAAAUUAGAUAAUACGCAUUUAAUUAUGCAUCUAAAUGUGACGAAGAUUAUGUUUUUUAAACAUCACACGCACGCCAGUCAAUAGCUCCGUUUAAAUCUCGAUGAGGAUACCGAUAACGAAAGCGAAAUAUAUAUAACGUAACUUGUCAAGAGAAGUGUCUGCAUUUACGGAUGUCAAAAAAGAUUUGUUUAGCGGUAAAGUGGAAAGUGAAGGUACACCAGUGCAUGUUGGCAAUGACGUUUUCUCGCUCAGAUACAACAUUUCCUUCUAUCAUUCAGACGUAUGCACAUAUAUACGGCUGCACGAAAUUUAUCUUGGUAAUAAAAGCAUAAAUAUAGAAUGUGAGAGAACUAAUUAAUAUGUAAUUAUUUAUUGGAUCGAGAAUAUUUGUAUUUAUAUAUUUCCUUGAUCGCAUGACGUUAUUGAUAAAAAUAUCAGCCAUAAAGAGAGAAUUGUAAAGAGAAGACUAAGAAAAGAUGCCGAAGAAUGCUCCUUGAAGGAUACUAUCGACCUAAAGAAAAAAAAUAAAGAAAAAGACAAAAAUGACAUGUCAGUAAUGACCUGCUAGAACUGGUCAGACCGAGAGAAGCCAGACUAUCAAGUCAAUAUACACUUCAAGAAUCCAACAGACAAUCGUCUGGGAAUUUCGUAAUUUUUGAAAGCGACUGCUGCUAGAUACGGACGAUAUGUCAAGUAUUGCUGCGCGAGUGGGAAAAGGAAUUUUAUCAAGAUCAACAAAAAUUUAAAUUAGAAUUUCGUAAUAUCCGGAAAACGACUAUUACAUGUUGAAUAAUAUCGAAAUGUCAAAGAGAAAUGUCGCGUGGCGCCAAGCGAGAAUUUUAAACAAUUUCUCUCAUUUUCUGACUUUCUCAGAUGCAUAUAAUCUGAUCUCUCAGAACAGGAACAAAUUAACAGAGAGAAAGGUGAUCGAUGUAGGGAAUAAGCGAGGGCG